rnacentral:rRNA from 1 species
CUACGGGGUGCUCCAGUGGGGAAUAUUGGGCAAUGGGCGAAAGCCUGACCCAGCAACGCCGCGUGAAGGAAGAAGGUUUUCGGAUCGUAAACUUCUAUCCCAGGUGAAGAUAAUGACGGUAGCCUGGAAGGAAGCCCCGGCUAACUACGUGCCAGCAGCCGCGGUAAUACGUAGGGGGCAAGCGUUGUCCGGAAUGAUUGGGCGUAAAGGGCGCGUAGGCGGCCUUCUAAGUCCGAUGUGAAAGUCCUGCUGUUAAGGUGGGAAUUGCAUUGGAAACUGGAGGGCUUGAGUGCAGGAGAGGUAAGUGGAAUUCCCGGUGUAGCGGUGAAAUGCGUAGAGAUCGGGAGGAACACCAGUGGCGAAGGCGACUUACUGGACUGUAACUGACGCUGAGGCGCGAAAGUGUGGGGAGCAAACAGGAUUAGAUACCCCAGUAGUC